UAGUUGUCAGUAGCCUACUCCAUACACCAUCAAUUAUGACAAAUAGUAUUAUAAAGUGUACUCUAUGAAAUGCUCAGGAUGAUGUGGAUGAAGAAACCGUUUCUGCUGCCACAGACAGGCCUACAGAGAGUUAUGGAAGAACGGCAGGAGGAAGGUCCAUCAACUUCUGGUGCACAGAUGGACACAGUUCAGUGAUUUACAGUGGUGAAAAAAAUGAAAUGAAGCAG